GCCAAAUAGAGAGGAGAAGAAGAACUUUGUGUCUGGUCUUAUGGAAGGGAAAGCUAUUCUUCUUUGCCUUAUGGUGAUUGUGCAGCUCGGAAAUUCCAUUCAUGCUAAGGACUGCUUUAUUGGAAUUGCAUUUGGAGCCACUUUAUGCACGGAAUUAAAAUGUCGUUUGUCCUGCAUGACAAAAUGGGGACCCGAAGUCACCAAAUCGUACUGUAUCGAAGUCAUCCCAAACUUUCAGCAUUGUUACUGUGUUGUUUGUGACACCUAGAGUUGCACUAGGUCAUGAUGUUCAAUGAUGUAUCUUAUCUUCUUUGUUGGAUAUACAUCAAAGUUGUGUGAUUGUGUGGUUGCAAACAAUAAAGAAAAGAGAAAUAAAAAGACAGAUCCGGCCGUGCUGGGCAUUCUCGCAA